CGGGAAACCAAAAGCCCCUCUGAAUCCUGCCCACCGAGGUUCUCCCCAGCCAAGACUCAGCUUUGCACUCCAGGGCUGCGUACCACCAGCCACUGUCAUGUUAACCCCUUCCCAGGCCAAUGUGUCCUUGGCCUGGAGCCCAAUCUGCUGGACAGCCUGGGACCGUCCAUUUUCGGGGUGGUGGGCAACCUGGUGGCCAUCGUGGUGCUGUGCAAGUCGCGCAAGGAGCAGAAGGAGACCACCUUCUAUACAGUUAUGCGGCUGGCUGCCACCGACCUGUUGUUCACUUUGCUGGUGAGCCAGGUGACCAUCGCCAUGUACAUGAAGGGCGGGUAACCUGGGGGCCAGCUGCUGUGUGAGUACAGCAUCUUCAGCCUGUUCUUCUUCAGUCAGUCCGGCCUCAGCAUCGUCUGUGCCAUGAUAUCUAUACAGGUAAUUUGUGUUAGACAUUCUUAGAAGAGUUUCAAAAGUUUUAUGUUUUUAUCUGGGUUAUAAACAGAGUCCUCAAAUGCAUACAAAGGAAAUC
ensembl:lncRNA novel transcript